CCUACGGGGGGCAGCAGUGAGGAAUAUUGGUCAAUGGACGAGAGUCUGAACCAGCCAAGUAGCGUGAAGGAUGACUGCCCUAUGGGUUGUAAACUUCUUUUAUAUGGGAAUAAAAUGUUCCACGUGUGCCUUUUUGUAUGUACCUUAUGAAUAAGGAUCGGCUAACUCCGUGCCAGCAGCCGCGGUAAUACGGAGGAUCCGAGCGUUAUCCGGAUUUAUUGGGUUUAAAGGGAGCGUAGAUGGGUUGUUAAGUCAGUUGUGAAAGGUUGCGGCUCAACCGUAAAAUUGCAAUUGAUACUGGCAGUCUUGAGUACAGUAGAGGUAGGCGGAAUUCGUGGUGUAGCGGUGAAAGGCUUAGAUAUCACGAAGAACUCCGAUUGCGAAGGCAGCUUACUGGACUGCAACUGACACUGAGGCUCGAAAGUGUGGGUAUCAAACAGGAUUAGAUACCCGGGUAGUC
rnacentral:rRNA from 1 species